UACGUAGGGGGCAAGCGUUGUCCGGAAUCAUUGGGCGUAAAGAGCUCGUAGGCGGUCUGUCGCGUCGAUCGUGAAAACUUGGGGCUUAACCCUGAGCUUGCGGUCGAUACGGGCAUGACUGGAGUUCGGCAGGGGAGACUGGAAUUCCUGGUGUAGCGGUGAAAUGCGCAGAUAUCAGGAGGAACACCGGUGGCGAAGGCGGGUCUCUGGGCCGUAACUGACGCUGAGGAGCGAAAGCUAGGGUAGCAAACGGG
rnacentral:rRNA from 1 species